rnacentral:lncRNA from 1 species
CUGAUUUAACGAAAAAAAAUCUGACGAAAAGAAAAAAAUGAAACCACAUAGUACUAAAUUGAUAUAUUUUAAAUCACAAAAUACUAAAAUAAGAACGUUUGAAACCACAGAGUACUAAAUUGAUACACUUUAAACUAAAGGCUACUAAAGUAAAAAAGUUUGAAACUACAGGGGUAGUAUUUGAUGUUUACCCUAAAAUUAUUUACACCCUUGGUCUU